UUGACCUCAAAUCAGGUAGGACUACCCGCUGAACUUAAGCAUAUCAAUAAGCGGAGGAAAAGAAACCAACAGGGAUUGCCUCAGUAACGGCGAGUGAAGCGGCAAAAGCUCAAAUUUGAAAUCUGGCGCAAGCCCGAGUUGUAAUUUGAAGAAGGCGACUUUGGCACCGGCUCUUGUCUAUGUUCCUUGGAACAGGACGUCACAGAGGGUGAGAAUCCCGUGCGAUGAGAUGCGCGGUGCCGUGUAAAGUGCUUUCGACGAGUCGAGUUGUUUGGGAAUGCAGCUCUAAGUGGGUGGUAAAUUCCAUCUAAAGCUAAAUACAGGCGAGAGACCGAUAGCGAACAAGUACAGUGAUGGAAAGAUGAAAAGAACUUUGAAAAGAGAGUGAAAAAGUACGUGAAAUUGUUGAAAGGGAAGGGCUUAAGAUCAGACUUGGCUUGACCUAUGGGGCUCUUUCGGGGGCCUCCUCUGGGUUUUGUUGGGCCAGCAUCGGUUCGCUGGGCGGGACAAUUGCGCAGGAAUGUGGCUCUGCUUCGGUGGAGUGUUAUAGCCUGCGUGGAUGCCGCCACGGUGGACCGAGGACUGCGAUUCUAGGAUGUUGGCAUAAUGAUCUUAAGCCGC
rnacentral:rRNA from 1 species